rnacentral:lncRNA from 1 species
ACACUAUCAACUCCUAGCAAAGCAUCCUAACAACAUUCACAUCAACAGUUCAACAUAUCAUAUAAUGAGUUCUAACAUAGUAAUCACCUAGAUCAGCCAGUCGUUGCUUCCUCCCAGUGCCGGGAGGCCGUCCUCUACGUUUAGAAGGGCUCAUUGGAUCUCCUUCUGAAGAAGAUUUUUUAGGCUUUAUCAGCAAAGGAGACAAGCCAAGUGAGACCUGGCCAUCUGGGGCAUACUUCCUAG